rnacentral:rRNA from 1 species
GACGAACGCUGGCGGCGUGCUUAACACAUGCAAGUCGAACGCUGAAGCUCAGCUUUUGUUGGGUGGAUGAGUGGCGAACGGGUGAGUAACACGUGAGUAACCUGCCCCCUUCUUUGGGAUAACGCCCGGAAACGGGUGCUAAUACUGGAUAUUCACUGGUCUUCGCAUGGGGGUUGGUGGAAAGGGUUUUUCUGGUGGGGGAUGGGCUCGCGGCCUAUCAGCUUGUUGGUGGGGUGAUGGCCUACCAAGGCUUUGACGGGUAGCCGGCCUGAGAGGGUGACCGGUCACAUUGGGACUGAGAUAAGGCCGAGACUCAUACGGGAGGCAGCAGUGGGGAAUAUUGCACAAUGGGCGCAAGCCUGAUGCAGCGACGCCGCGUGAGGGAUGGAGGCCUUCGGGUUGUGAACCUCUUUCGCUAAUGGUCAAGCCGCAACAAUGGUUGUGGUGAGGGUAGUGGGUAAAGAAGCGCCGGCUAACUACGUG